GAUGAACGCUGACAGAAUGCUUAACACAUGCAAGUCGAUUCGAUUUACCUUCGGGUAUUGAGGAUGGCGGACGGGUGAGUAACGCGUAAGGAACUUGCCUCUUGGUCUGGGACAACUGUUGGAAACGACAGCUAAUACCGGAUAUUAUGAGAUUCUCGCAUGGGAAACUUAUGAAAGCUAUAUGCGCCAAGAGAGAGCCUUGCGUUCCAUUAGCUAGUUGGUGGGGUAACGGCCCACCAAGGCGACGAUGGAUAGCCGGCCUGAGAGGGUGAACGGCCACAAGGGGACUGAGACACGGCCCUUACUCCUACGGGAGGCAGCAGUGGGGAAUAUUGGANNNUGGGNNNNNAGCCUGAUCCAGCAAUUCUGUGUGCACGAUGAAGGUCUUCGGAUUGUAAAGUGCUUUCAGUUGGGAAGAAGAAAGUGACGGUACCAACAGAAGAAGCGACGGCUAAAUACGUGCCAGCAGCCGCGGUAAUACGUAUGUCGCAAGCGUUAUCCGGAUUUAUUGGGCGUAAAGCGCGUCUAGGCNGAAAAAUAAGUCUGAUGUUAAANUGCGGGGCUCAACUCCGUAUUGCGUUGGAAACUGUUUUUCUAGAGUACUGGNGA
rnacentral:rRNA from 1 species